rnacentral:rRNA from 1 species
AUUGAACGCUGGCGGCAUGCUUUACACAUGCAAGUCGAACGGUAACAGGGUGCUUGCACCGCUGACGAGUGGCGAACGGGUGAGUAAUGCGUCGGAACGUGCCGAGUAGUGGGGGAUAACGCAGCGAAAGUUGUGCUAAUACCGCAUACGUACUGAGGUAGAAAGUGGGGGACCUUCGGGCCUCACGCUAUUCGAGCGGCCGACGUCUGAUUAGCUAGUAGGUGAGGUAAAGGCUCACCUAGGCGACGAUCAGUGGCGGGUCUGAGAGGAUGAUCCGCCACACUGGGGCUGAGACACGGCCCAGACUCCUACGGGAGGCAGCAGUGGGAAUUUUGGACAAUGGGCGAAAGCCUGAUCCAGCCAUGCCGCGUGUCUGAAGAAGGCCUUCGGGUUGUAAAGGACUUUUGUCAGGGAGGAAAUCCCUAGUGCUAAUAACACUGGGGGAUGACAGUACCUGAAGAAUAAGCACCGGCUAACUACGUGCCAGCCGCCGCCGUAA